rnacentral:rRNA from 1 species
GCGCACGGGUGAGUAACACGUAUCCAACCUGCCGAUAACUCGGGGAUAGCCUUUCGAAAGAAAGAUUAAUAUCCGAUGGUAUAUUAAAACCGCAUGGUUUUACUAUAAAGAAUUUCGGUUAUCGAUGGGGAUGCGUUCCAUUAGUUUGUUGGCGGGGUAACGGCCCACCAAGACUACGAUGGAUAGGGGUUCUGAGAGGAAGGUCCCCCACAUUGGAACUGAGACACGGUCCAAACUCCUACGGGAGGCAGCAGUGAGGAAUAUUGGUCAAUGGACGAGAGUCUGAACCAGCCAAGUAGCGUGAAGGAUGACUGCCCUAUGGGUUGUAAACUUCUUUUAUAUGGGAAUAAAGUAUUCCACGUGUGGGAUUUUGUAUGUACCAUAUGAAUAAGGAUCGGCUAACUCCGUGCCAGCAGCCGCGGUAAUACGGAGGAUCCGAGCGUUAUCCGGAUUUAUUGGGUUUAAAGGGAGCGUAGGUGGAUUGUUAAGUCAGUUGUGAAAGUUUGCGGCUCAACCGUAAAAUUGCAGUUGAAACUGGCAGUCUUGAGUACAGUAGAGGUGGGCGGAAUUCGUGGUGUAGCGGUGAAAUGCUUAGAUAUCACGAAGAACUCCGAUUGCGAAGGCAGCUCACUAGACUG